GACAGAGGGUGCAAACGUUGUUCGGAAUUACUGGGCGUAAAGCGCGUGUAGGCGGCUUGGCAAGUCGGAUGUGAAAGCCCAGGGCUCAACCCUGGAAGUGCACUCGAAACUGCCGAGCUGGAGUCCCGGAGAGGAAGGCGGAAUUCUCGGUGUAGAGGUGAAAUUCGUAGAUGUCGAGAGGAACACCAGUGGCGAAGGCGGUUGCCUGGAGCUUUGCUGACGCUGAGGCGCGAAAGCGUGGGGAGCGAACAGG
rnacentral:rRNA from 1 species